UACGAAGGGGGGCUAGCGUUGCUCGGAAUCACUGGGCGUAAAGGGUGCGUAGGCGGGUCUUUUAAGUCAGGGGUGAAAUCCUGGAGCUCAACUCCAGAACUGCCUUUGAUACUGAGGAUCUUGAGUUCGGGAGAGGUGAGUGGAACUGCGAGUGUAGAGGUGAAAAUUCGUAGAUAUUCGCAAGAACACCAGUGGCGAAGGCGGCUCACUGGCCCGAUACUGACGCUGAGGCACGAAAGCGUGGGGAGCAAACAGG
rnacentral:rRNA from 1 species